rnacentral:tRNA from 1 species
GCUUGGGUGGCUCAGUCGGUUGGGCGUCUGACUUCAGCUCAGGUCAUGAUCUCACGGUUUGUGGGUUCGAGCCCCGCGUCGGGCU